CGAGAAUGGCUGAAGUUCAGAAACAAGAAUAGAAUUGCAGAAUCAUGAAAAGAGCAAUGGGGAGAAAGGAAACAAUAUUAGACUGAAGCUUUUCAACUGUGGAUAAAGUCUGCCUGGUGACUGAUACCUAAGGUCUUGUAGGAGCCUUGGGCACACAAGAAGAGAUCCCAUCUAGGAGUUUGAUAAAGGUUCAUUGAGUGGCCCUGCGUGCUACCAGAUUCCUUUAAAACCAGCUGAUUUUCAAGUUCAGGCAGAGGCGCAAAGGUCCUUUGGUUUAGGGUCUCUGUGUGUAUCCUUUUCCUGAUAUAUGACCUCGUGAGCUGACCUGCAUAAUCCUGGAAGCUGAUGUUGGUGGUAGGAGCCUGGAUCUCUUCCUCAAAGCUGCAGAUCUGUCAGCCCAUGUCCUUUUGUUUGACCCUUGACGCUGGCUGCUUCUUUCCUUACAGAGACUGAUGACUAUUACUACAAAUAUACCACAGAGUAUUCAAUUAUGCUGGAAGGAGGGUGAAAACGACAUGCCAGAAGCUCCACAAGAGAGAUGAUGCAC